AAAGGGGAAAGUGAUCUAGCCACUUUCACCGGAUCCACGCCAGGGCUUGCCAAUUUACUGGGUUCUCCCCAGACCAGUCUCUGCGACGAGGGAUGACAGUUGGUCUACAGAACCGCAAAUCUAUGUUGAACAGGCUAAGACUUGACCAGUUCCAGCUUUGAGCAACUUGAAGGCCAACUGCCCUGAGUUGAUAAACUCCUGCUUCCCAAUUGGUUUUUUUUUUUGUUUGUUUGUUUUGCUUUUGCUUUUUAAAAACGUCUUGAGUUUAUUAUGGCCAAAGGCUAGGCGAGCAGAGAACCUGCUCAUAGCCGACCUUGAGAAACGUAGGCAGAAUGUCCAUUGGCGGCAGAGAGCUGAGGAGGUGUUGGGCCGAGCCCUACAAUAGAGGCUGCAGCAGAAGCCUGUGCUCUCCUUUCUGAUGGCUGCCUUGGGAAGUCAGACACUAUUCUCGGAGGUCCAACUUCACAGUGAGGAAGGCAAGACACCUAAACAGAAGGUCAUCUUCCCUUAGAUUUCUUCUAAGGCUUAGAAGAACAGAAGGGACAUAAAUGCCUUUAAUUUGCAGGCUGAGUUGGAUGAAAGGGAGGUUUUAAGACUCUUAGAUGCCGUCUUAGCUGAAUUAUGGAGCUGCUCCCUAAGAGACGAACCUCAGGCAAUUCUCUAAAAAGACCAUCUGGGCGGUCAAGAGCUGAACGCCGCUUGGUUUUCCCUUCUCCUUGCUUUGACUGGGACCCAAAAUAUGACAGUCGUCUGAUUCAAAUGUAGGGGGGCGUUUCUCAUUCCCGGAUGUCCUCCCAAAGGCAGAUACCCAUGCCCUUACCCGCGGCGCGUGAAUACGAAGGGAGGCACUGCUCGGGCUCGAGACCGCACCAGAGACUGCUCGGAGCCUGCCGCCUCUGGGCCGCCGCCCCCCGGAGUGGAGGCAAAGGGCCAGAGGCCCCGAGCUUUGGAGCCGCUGGCGCCCAUGUCAGCGCCGCGGGCGCAUGGCGGACCCAGCGGCCGCUCCGCUCUCACAGCGCGGCGGGCGCGACCAUGCCCUGCCCCAGCUUCCACUCGCAGGUGCCGCCGCCGCCGCCGCCUUCCGCAGGCUCUGCUGUCUCCACGGAAACCUCACUUCCGCUUCCGCGCGUCCUGCACGGUGCCUCCUCUGAGUGGCUAAAGGUCUCGUCAGUCUGUGGUGUAGAACCAAUGGCCACUCUCAGAGGCUGACCACCACAGGAUGCGCUGCCUCCAGGUCCCAGAAGCCUAUGGGUCCCAAGGGUCAGCUGGGACAGCUCCCUUCCAGAAAGGCGGAGGUAAUGUGUUGUUGUUGACUUUAAGGUCGGACCGGGUAUAGUUGUCUCUACGUCCCUGACACGCCCAAAACUCCGGCCCAGUAGCAAUAGUCAAUUAGGUCACCCCUCCACCCCUAAGGGACCUUAGGCCUGUCUGAGGCUAAGGUUGGCUGUUUUCACAACUGUGUCUUUGCAGUUGUCACAUUUGCCUGUAAAGAAACUACGGAUCUUG
ensembl:antisense Gm9917 predicted gene 9917